GGAGAGGGCCGGGUGGUCGCUGUUCCCACCGCGAGGCGGGGGCAGAGGAAAGUCCGGACUCCACAGGGCAGGGUGGUCGGUAACGCCGACCGGGGGUGACCCUAGGGAAAGUGCCACAGAAAACAUACCGCCUCAGGCCGGCCCGCGAGGGUCGGCCCGGGGUAAGGGUGAAAAGGUGCGGUAAGAGCGCACCGCGGCCCCGGUGACGGGGCUGGCAUGGCAAACCCCACCCGGAGCAAGGCCAAAUAGGGGAGCGUCCCCGUCGGCAACGGCGGGGUGGUAGGAUGGCCCGUCCGAGACUCCCGGGUUGGCCGCUAGAGUCCCGCAGUAAUGCGGGAUCGAGAGAAAUGAUCACCGGUCCCGGCAACGGGACGUCACAGAAUCCGGCUUACAGGCCCUCUCCGGCU
rnacentral:RNase_P_RNA from 2 species